UAUUAUUAUCCGGAAUAUGUAUUGAACAAAAAUUUCAUACAUUUACACCGAACCAUGUAAAUGCACUUCACCAUAUUGUAGGAUUCCAAGGAAAAUGAAAUUUAAUUGAACAGUAGUUUUUAAAGAUUUGUAAGCUGACAAACAUACACAUUACCUAAGAAUAACUACAAAAGAUAAGCACGUACAUUAAAGAUUUGUUUAUUUUGUAAAUUCCAAAUAUUGAGGGUAAACAGGCCGAAGAGUCAGUCAACACAAUAUUAUUUUCGAUUGCUGAUAAAAACAUUUGAAUUGGAGAAAAGUAGAAGGGAAAAAUUUUAUAGUUUAAUAUGAUUUUAUUUGGAACAUUAUGAAACAGAGAAAAUAUUUUCAACAAUAAUGCCACAAAAUACUCCAAAGUGAAAAAGUAAAGUGGAUCAAAUGAACUACUGCACAUAUUUUUAUCUCUAUGUGAAUUGAAUAGCUAAAAAGAAGAAAAAUUAUUUCUAAAUGGUACCAGUAUGUUUCCUCAUAUGAGUUCGCAAUUCUGAUGGUCUACAAAACUUUUUCGGACAAAGAUGACAUUGUUCAGUACGACCUGUAUGAAUUUUCAAAUGUGUUGAUAAAAUACUGCGUUGUAUAAAUGCCUAAAAUGAAAUGAAAAACAUUAUAACAAAAUAAGUUAAGUAGUGGUAAAUAUAAUAAAUUAUCAUACUUUUCCGCAAAAUUUGCAUUUGUAGGGCUUUUCACCGGUAUGAGUCCUUUCGUGUUCCUGAAGAUGUGCUUUGGUUACGGUAGUAACGUCGCAAUAUCUACAUUUAAACGGUGUAUCUUUGGUGUGUCUUCGUAGAUGUAUCGUUAAAUAUGACUGAUUUCUAAAAAAUAUAAUUUUCUAUGUAUAUAAAUAAAUAUUUUGAUAUUAGUCAUAAGCAAAAAAUCAUAAAGUUUGGAUUUUUUAGAGCACUUGUUCUCGUUAGAAUUAAAAUGAAACUUUACUUGAACUGUUUCCCACAAUAAGUACAAAGGCCUCUUAUGUUAUCUCCUUUAUUAUGUUGGGCUUUUAUGUGUUUAUCCAUGUCACCUACUGUCUCGUUGCAAUCAAUGCAAAAUUUAUCGAAAUCUGAUUUAGUAACUCUAAAAAAUUAAAUAAUCACCAACAAAAAUAAUUAGUUCAAUUAAACUUAAAUUUAAGGAUGUUUUCGUCUUUUUUUUGGUCUAUGUAGUCUAUGUAGGAAAAAAUUGAAUAGCAACGAUUUUAAUGACAAAAUAUUAUCAAUAAAGAAAAUCGGUGAUUA